GGCGGCGUGCCUAACACAUGCAAGUCGAACGGAGAGGCUAAGAACAAGACUUCGGUCAAGUGAUUAGUUUCUAGUGGCGGACGGGUGAGUAACGCGUGAGCAAUCUGCCUUUCAGAGGGGGAUAACGUUCUGAAAAGAACGCUAAUACCGCAUAAGACCACGAGGUCGCAUGGCCACGGGGUAAAAGAUUUAUCGGGUGUAGGGUGAGCUCGCGUCCCAUUAGCUAGUUGGUGAGGUAAACGGCCCCACCAAGGCGACGAUGGGUAGCCGACCUGAGAGGGUGAUCGGCCACAUUGGAACUGAGACACGGUCCAGACUCCUACGGGAGGCAGCAGUGGGGAAUAUUGGGCAAUGGGCGCAAGCCUGACCCAGCAACGCCGCGUGAAGGAAGAAGGUUUUCGGAUUGUAAACUUCUGUCCUAAGUGACGAAUGAAAUGACGGUAGCUUAGGAGGAAGCCCCGGCUAACUACGUG
rnacentral:rRNA from 1 species